GAAGCUGCCAGCAUGAUCUA
rnacentral:sRNA from 1 species